rnacentral:sRNA from 2 species
GAGGCACGGGACAGGUCCCAGAAUAUGGCCCACAGAAUAAAAACAACCUGCUCAGAGUAAAGGAAAGAUCAUCCACACUGAUGAGGAUCAGUGACUAAGG